rnacentral:snoRNA from 1 species
AUACCAUGGUGUGGGCACUUCCUAAGCAGCGACAUGAAGCGUUCCCAAGCUUCAUAUAAAUUAUCGUCUUCAAAUUGCUUAAAAUUAGCAAUAUCACACCUUAAUUG